rnacentral:rRNA from 1 species
GUGGGGAAUUUUGGACAAUGGGCGAAAGCCUGAUCCAGCAAUGCCGCGUGUGUGAAGAAGGCCUUCGGGUUGUAAAGCACUUUUGUCCGGAAAGAAAACCUCGUGGUUAAUACCCGUGGGGGAUGACGGUACCGGAAGAAUAAGCACCGGCUAACUACGUGCCAGCAGCCGCGGUAAUACGUAGGGUGCAAGCGUUAAUCGGAAUUACUGGGCGUAAAGCGUGCGCAGGCGGUUCGCUAAGACAGAUGUGAAAUCCCCGGGCUUAACCUGGGAACUGCAUUUGUGACUGGCGGGCUAGAGUAUGGCAGAGGGGGGUAGAAUUCCACGUGUAGCAGUGAAAUGCGUAGAGAUGUGGAGGAAUACCGAUGGCGAAGGCAGCCCCCUGGGCCAAUACUGACGCUCAUGCACGAAAGCGUGGGGAGCAAACAGGAUUAGAAACCCUGGUAGUCC